rnacentral:pre_miRNA from 1 species
GAAGUACUCCCUCCGUCCGAAAAUACUCGUCGGAGGAAUGGAUGUAUCUAGACGUAUUUUAGUUCUAGAUACAUCCAUUUUUAUGCAUUUCUUCGACAAGUAUUUCCGGACGGAGGGAGUAUAUG